rnacentral:rRNA from 1 species
UACGAAGGGGGCUAGCGUUGCUCGGAAUCACUGGGCGUAAAGGGUGCGUAGGCGGGUCUUUUAAGUCAGGGGUGAAAUCCUGGAGCUCAACUCCAGAACUGCCUUUGAUACUGAGGAUCUUGAGUUCGGGAGAGGUGAGUGGAACUGCGAGUGUAGAGGUGAAAUCGUAGAUAUUCGCAAGAACACCAGUGGCGAAGGCGGCUCACUGGCCCGAUACUGACGCUGAGACGCGAAAGCGUGGGGAGCAAACAGG